GACGAACGCUGGCGGCGUGCUUAACACAUGCAAGUCGAGCGGUAAGGCCCUUUCGGGGGUACGACGAGCGGCGAACGGGUGAGUAACACGUGGGUGACCUGCCCUCCAGCUCUGGGAGUAAGCCUGGGAAACCGGGGUCUAAUACCGGAUAUGACUCCAUGACGCAUGUUGUGGGGUGGAAAGCCUUGUGCGGCUGAGGAUGGGCCCGCGGCCUAUCAGCUUGUUGGUGGGGUGANGGCCUACCAAGGCGACGACGGGUAGCCGGCCUGAGAGGGCGACCGGCCACACUGGGACUGAGACACGGCCCAGACUCCUACGGGAGGCAGCAGUGGGGAAUCUUGCGCAAUGGGCGAAAGCCUGACGCAGCGACGCCGCGUGAGGGAUGACGGCCUGGUGUAA
rnacentral:rRNA from 1 species